rnacentral:lncRNA from 1 species
CGAGCUCCUGUAGUGCCACCUACUUGGGGGUCUGAAGUGGGAGGAUCACUUGCACCUGAGAGGUGGAGACCGCAGUGAGCUAAGAUUACACCACUGCACUCCACUCUGUCGCCCAUGACAGAGUGAGGCCCUAUCUCAAAAAAAAAAAAAAAGAAAGAAAAAAUUCUUAGAGGGGGUAUGAAUUCUCUGGAAUUUGCUCAUUAGAUUUUAAGUGAAGAUGACCAGGGUAAAUGCCAUUUGACCCAAAGUGCACUAAAAUAUGAUCCAUCUAAUGCAGAUUCUGGCAAACUUAAUCUAACCAUUAGCAGCUCAUGGAGUUAGAAGUUAUUUUCUGAGAAUCUUAUUGCCAUCUUUUCAUUCUUCCUGAUCUGCAUUAUUCUUACUUUGUGGAACAUGGCAGUAAGCCUGGGACUCUUAGAGAGUCCGCAUCCUUGAAAUGAGCAAAAAGAAUAUUGUUGCGCAUUCCUAUCGGGCUCUUAAGAUUUCUUCCCAACCAUACUGCUUUCUAGGUACCACUGUAGUGCCCUUGUAACCCUUAGAUCUUUUCUUGCUGUGUUCAACACAGAGCCUGGCAUACUAUAACUGUAGCUGGUUUCUCCCAUUUCCUUCUGGAUUCUACAUGGCCCCCUAUUCUAUUUCAUCCUUUUGGGAAUGUGUAACCUUUGAGACAUAUAUUCCUAAACCCACUUUGGUGUAAUCUGGAAACUUUAUGGCAUGCUGUAGUCUGUGACAAUCAGGAUAACCCUGAUUAUACCAGCUUCUAAUCAACUACAUAAAGAGGGUGAACACCAGGGUCACCAACACCUAUUUCCCAACUGCGGUGCACAGCAGCUUUUUAGCUUUGCCGGCACGUGUGUUUGUGCGUGAUUAUUUGUCUCAUGUACUAUUGAAUAAACAUCUUUGUAAGUAAC